rnacentral:lncRNA from 1 species
GUUUGAUAUUUUAUUAUUUUUGACAUGAGAUAGUUGAGUGACAUGGAAUUUUCAAAUUCCACUCUAAAUUACAAUUGAGGAUAUCAUACACUUACUUUUUGUUUGUACACAUACAAUAAUAUAUUACAUGUUUGUUUAUGUACAUAUAAUAAUAAAACAUCUCGUUUUAAUUGUACAUCCAUGACUAUCUACAUAAUUUAAAAUAAACAAAUUGCCAUUCAUUUUAUACAC